GAUGAACGCUAGCUACAGGCUUAACACAUGCAAGUCGAGGGGAAACGGCAUUUAGUGCUUGCACCGAAUGGACGUCGACCGGCGCACGGGUGAGUAACGCGUAUCCAACCUUCCCAUAACUAAGGGAUAACCUGCCGAAAGGCAGACUAAUACCUUAUGUAAUCCUUUGAUGGCAUCAGAUAAGGAUAAAAGAUUUAUCGGUUAUGGAUGGGGAUGCGUCUGAUUAGCUUGUUGGCGGGGUAACGGCCCACCAAGGCAACGAUCAGUAGGGGUUCUGAGAGGAAGGUCCCCCACAUUGGAACUGAGACACGGUCCAAACUCCUACGGGAGGCAGCAGUGAGGAAUAUUGGUCAAUGGACGGAAGUCUGAACCAGCCAAGUAGCGUGCAGGAUGACGGCCCUAUGGGUUGUAAACUGCUUUUGUAUGGGGAUAAAGUCAAUCACGUGUGAUUGUUUGCAGGUACCAUACGAAUAAGGACCGGCUAAUUCCGUGCCAGCAGCCGCGGUAAUACGGAAGGUUCGGGCGUUAUCCGGAUUUAUUGGGUUUAAAGGGAGCGUAGGCCGGAGAUUAAGUGUGUUGUGAAAUGUAGACGCUCAACGUCUGACUUGCAGCGCAUACUGGUUUCCUUGAGUACGCACAACGUUGGCGGAAUUCGUCGUGUAGCGGUGAAAUGCUUAGAUAUGACGAAGAACUCCGAUUGCGAAGGCAGCUGACGGGAGCGCAACUGACGCUGAAGCUCGAAGGUGCGGGUAUCGAACAGG
rnacentral:rRNA from 1 species